rnacentral:rRNA from 1 species
UACGUAGGGUGCGAGCGUUGUCCGGAAUUAUUGGGCGUAAAGAGCUCGUAGGCGGUGUGUCGCGUCGGCCGUGAAAACCUGGGGCUCAACUCUGGGCGUGCGGUCGAUACGGGCAUCACUUUGAGUUCGGCAGGGGGAGACUGGAAUUCCUGGUGUAGCGGUGGAAAUGCGCAGAUAUCAGGAGGAACACCAGUGGCGAAGG